GACGAACGCUGGCGGCGUGCCUAAUACAUGCAAGUCGAACGCGUCUUUCUCACCGAGUGCUUGCACUCACCGAGAAAGAGGAGUGGCGGACGGGUGAGUAACACGUGGGUAACCUGCCCAUCAGAAGGGGAUAACACUUGGAAACAGGUGCUAAUACCGUAUAACAAUCGGAACCGCAUGGUUCUGAUUUGAAAGGCGCUUUCGGGUGUCGCUGAUGGAUGGACCCGCGGUGCAUUAGCUAGUUGGUGAGGUAACGGCUCACCAAGGCAACGAUGCAUAGCCGACCUGAGAGGGUGAUCGGCCACACUGGGACUGAGACACGGCCCAGACUCCUAUGGGAGGCAGCAGUAGGGAAUCUUCGGCAAUGGACGAAAGUCUGACCGAGCAACGCCGCGUGAGUGAAGAAGGUUUUCGGAUCGUAAAACUCUGUUGUUAGAGAAGAACAAGUGGGAGAGUAACUGUUCCCGCCUUGACGGUAUCUAACCAGAAAGCCACGGCUAACUACGUGCCAGCCGCCGCCGUAAGAC
rnacentral:rRNA from 1 species